AUGCAAAAUGCUUUACGAACUACAAUGCCCCACACCCGUCACAGAUGGUGCAGAUGGCAUGUGUUAAAGGUGUUGAAAGAGAAAAUUGGACAUGUGUACAGCAAACAUUCUGUCUUCAAGAAGGAAUUCCACGCGAUAGUAAAUGAAGAGACAGAUGUAGAAUCAUUUGAGUGGAGGUGGCAUCAAUUGAUUAAAAAAUACAAGCUUCAAGGGAACAAGUACCUUCGCAGGAUUUUCAAAUGGAGGGACAUGUGGGCAAUGCCAUACUUCAUGGGCACUUUCUGUGCCGGAAUGACCAGCACGCAACGGAGCGAGAGUGCGAAUCAUCUCUUGAAAAAGUUCAUCAGCAGAUCAUCCCCAAUGCACUUGUUCGUUAAGCAGUACAACAAAUUGCUUGAAUCCAGGAGUCAGGCAGAGGACGAGGCAAACUAUGUCAGCAAGCAGACACGCAGACGGCUUGUAAUUGGUGCUACUAUCGAGAUAGAUGCAGCGGCUGUGUACACGAAGGCCUUGUACGAAAAAUUUUCACACGAACUUUUUAGAUCUGGCUCUUUUGAUGCACGCUGUUCCAAGCCUGGUCAUGUCUACAAGGUCAAGUUGUCGCCGCAACUAGCCUUAACUGAUUAUGACAAAAAAAUAUUCACUGUCAAAGUGGAGGACGGUUGGGAUCUUGUCACAUGUGAUUGUGGAUUUUUUGAUCAUGUCGGAUUGCUGUGCUGCCAUUCAUUAAAGGUCUUAGUUCAGAACAAUAUUGGCAAGAUUCCAUCAAGGAAUGUAGUCAAACGAUGGACUUUAUGGGCAAGGGAAUCAAGGCCGCUGCACCUGGCAAAUGAGGGUGAAUUGGGGGAGCUGUCUUCUCAAAUUACGUAUAGAAGAAAUGUUCUGUAUGUGGCUGCUAUGGACCUUAUCAAGGAGGCAUAG
rnacentral:rRNA from 1 species